CCCUUAGAUGUUCUGGGCCGCACGCGCGCUACACUGAAGGAGGCAGCGUGUACUCCUGGAUCGAAAGAUUUGGGUAACCCGCGAAUCUCCUUCGUGCUAGGGAUUGAGGUUUGCAAUUAUCCUUCAUGAACGAGGAAUUCCCAGUAAGUGCAAGUCAUAAGCUUGCGCUGACUACGUCCCUGCCCUUUGUACACACCGCCCGUCGCUACUACCGAUUGAAUGGUCCGGUGAAUAAUUCGGACUGCAGCACUGCUUGGUUUCCAGGCUUUGCAGCGGAAAGUUUAGUGAACCUUAUCACUUAGAGGAAGGAGAAGUCGUAACA
rnacentral:rRNA from 1 species